UACGGAAGGCAGCAGGGGGGAAUAUUGCACAAUGGGCGCAAGCCUGAUGCAGCCAUGCCGCGUGUAUGAAGAAGGCCUUCGGGGUUGUAAAGUACUUUCAGUCGUGAGGAAGGUGUUAAGGUUAAUAACCUUAGCAAUUGACGUUAGCGACAGAAGAAGCACCGGCUAACUCCGUGCCAGCAGCCGCGGUAAUACGGAGGGUGCGAGCGUUAAUCGGAAUUACUGGGCGUAAAGGGCACGCAGGCGGUUAAUUAAGUUGGAUGUGAAAUCCCCGGGCUUAACCUGGGAAUGGCAUUCAAGACUGGUUAGCUAGAGUCUUGUAGAGGGGGUAGAAUUCCAUGUGUAGCGGUGAAAUGCGUAGAGAUGUGGAGGAAUACCGGUGGCGAAGGCGGCCCCUGGACAAAGACUGACGCUCAUGUGCGAAAGCGUGGGGAGCAAACAGGGAUUAGAUACC
rnacentral:rRNA from 1 species